rnacentral:misc_RNA from 1 species
AAAGUCGUAACAAGGUUUCCGUAGGUGAACCUGCGGAAGGAUCAUUACUAGUUUAGGGUACCCAGUGCCCAAACUUCAACCCUAUGAUUUAAUCACUUGUUUCUUUGCCGGGGUUAAUUAUCCGGCAAAAGAUUUCUAAAACUCAACUGUUAAUUUGUAAUCUGAAAUUUGAUAAAUAAAUCAAGUAUAAAACUUUCAACAACGGAUCUCUUGGUUCUG